AACCGGCGUCCCAUGUGGUUUAAUUCGAAACGAAACGAAGAACCUUACCUAGGUUUGACAUCCCGAUCGUACGUCUUGGAAACAAGAUGGUCAGUUCGGCUGGGAUCGGUGACAGCUGCUGCAUGGUUGUCGUCAGCUCGUGUCGUGAGGCGUCCUUUUAAGUAAGGUAACGAGCGCAACCCCUGUCGUAUGUUAAAUGUUCAUGCGAGACUGCCUUGGUGCAACCAAGGAGGAAGGAGGGGACGACGUCAAAUCAGCAUGGCGCUUACAUCUAGGGCUACACACAUGGGGUAAUGGCGAAUACAACGGGUCGCGAGGGAGUAAUCCGGAGCUAAUCCUUUAAAAUUCGCCUCAGUUCGGAUUGUGGGCUGCAAUUCGCCCACAUGAAGGGGAGUCGGUAGUAAUCGCAGGUCAGCUAUACUGCGGUGAAUACGUUCUCGUUUCUU
rnacentral:rRNA from 1 species